rnacentral:rRNA from 2 species
CCUGGCGGCCGUAGCGCGGUGGUCCCACCUGACCCCAUGCCGAACUCAGAAGUGAAACGCCGUAGCGCCGAUGGUAGUGUGGGGUCUCCCCAUGUGAGAGUAGGGAACCGCCAGG